rnacentral:rRNA from 1 species
UACGGGAGGCAGCAGUGGGGAAUAUUGCACAAUGGGCGCAAGCCUGAUGCAGCCAUGCCGCGUGUAUGAAGAAGGCCUUCGGGUUGUAAAGUACUUUCAGUCGUGAGGAAGGUGUUAAGGUUAAUAACCUUAGCAAUUGACGUUAGCGACAGAAGAAGCACCGGCUAACUCCGUGCCAGCAGCCGCGGUAAUACGGAGGGUGCGAGCGUUAAUCGGAAUUACUGGGCGUAAAGGGCACGCAGGCGGUUAAUUAAGUUGGAUGUGAAAUCCCCGGGCUUAACCUGGGAAUGGCAUUCAAGACUGGUUAGCUAGAGUCUUGUAGAGGGGGUAGAAUUCCAUGUGUAGCGGUCGAAAUGCGUAGAGAUGUGGAGGAAUACCGGUGGCGAAGGCGGCCCCUGGGACAAAGACUGACGCUCAUGUGCGAAAGCGUGGGGAGCAAACAGGGAUUAGAUACC